rnacentral:rRNA from 1 species
AGAGUUUGAUCCUGGCUCAGAGCGAACGCUGGCGGCAUGCUUAACACAUGCAAGUCGCACGGGCAGCAAUGUCAGUGGCGGACGGGUGAGUAACGCGUAGGAAUCUGUCUCCGGGUGGGGGAUAACUGUGGGAAACUACAGCUAAUACCGCAUGAAGCCUGCGGGCCAAAGCAGCAAUGCGCCUGGAGAGGAGCCUGCGU